CAGGAUUACAAAUUCUGGGCUAGCCUGGGC
rnacentral:piRNA from 1 species